rnacentral:lncRNA from 1 species
GUAUAGUAAGAAAAUUAGAGAAGGUCCGAUAUAUAUCCGAUUUCAGACAGAAUUUUAUCUCACUGGGCAGACUGGAUUCGAGAGGCUAUAGGACGGUAGCUGAUGGAGGAAUGCUGAAGAUGUUGCAAGGCGAUAGGAUUAUUCUGGAGGAGAAGAAGAGGACGAGAGGAUAUUACUAUCUGGUGGGAAGCUCAGUGUA